AUUGAACGCUGGCGGCAGGCCUAACACAUGCAAGUCGAACGAGUGGCGGACGGGUGAGUAAUGUCUGGGAAACUGCCGGAUGGAGGGGGAUAACUACUGGAAACGGUAGCUAAUACCGCAUACCAUCCGAGGUGCCGAGAUGGGAUUAGCUUGUUGGUGGGGUAAAGGCUCACCAAGGCGACGAUCCGUAGCGGGUCUGAGAGGAUGACCAGCCACACUGGGACUGAGACACGGUCCAGACUCCUACGGGAGGCAGAAGUGGGGAAUAUUGCACAAUGGGCGCAAGCCUGAUGCAGCCAUGCCGCGUGUCUGAAGAAGGCCUUCGGGUUGUAAAGGACUUUUGUCGGGGAAGCGGUACCCGAAGAAGAAGCACCGGCUAACUACGUGCCAGCAGCCGCGGUAAUAC
rnacentral:rRNA from 1 species